rnacentral:rRNA from 1 species
GACGAACGCUGGCGGCGUGCUUAACACAUGCAAGUCGAACGGAAAGGCCCUGCUUUUGUGGGGUGCUCGAGUGGCGAACGGGUGAGUAACACGUGAGUAACCUGCCCUUGACUUUGGGAUAACUUCAGGAAACUGGGGCUAAUACCGGAUAGGAGCUCCUGCUGCAUGGUGGGGGUUGGAAAGUUUCGGCGGUUGGGGAUGGACUCGCGGCUUAUCAGCUUGUUGGUGGGGUAGUGGCUUACCAAGGCUUUGACGGGUAGCCGGCCUGAGAGGGUGACCGGCCACAUUGGGACUGAGAUACGGCCCAGACUCCUACGGGAGGCAGCAGUGGGGAAUAUUGCACAAUGGGCGGAAGCCUGAUGCAGCAACGCCGCGUGCGGGAUGACGGCCUUCGGGUUGUAAACCGCUUUCGCCUGUGACGAAGCGUGAGUGACGGUAAUGGGUAAAGAAGCACCGGCUAACUACGUGCCAGCAGCCACGGUGAUACGUAGGGUGCGAGCGUUGUCCGGAUUUAUUGGGCGUAAAGGGCUCGUAGGUGGUUGAUCGCGUCGGAAGUGUAAUCUUGGGGCUUAACCCUGAGCGUGCUUUCGAUACGGGUUGACUUGAGGAAGGUAGGGGAGAAUGGAAUUCCUGGUGGAGCGGUGGAAUGCGCAGAUAUCAGGAGGAACACCAGUGGCGAAGGCGGUUCUCUGGGCCUUCCUGACGCUGAGGAGCGAAAGCGUGGGGAGCGAACAGGCUUAGAUACCCUGGUAGUCCACGCUGUAAACGGUGGGUACUAGGUGUGGGGUCCAUUCCACGGGUUCCGUGCCGUAGCUAACGCUUUAAGUACCCCGCCUGGGGAGUACGGCCGCAAGGCUAAAACUCAAAGGAAUUGACGGGGCCCCGCACAAGCGGCGGAGCAUGCGGAUUAAUUCGAUGCAACGCGUAGAACCUUACCUGGGUUUGACAUGGAUCGGGAGCGCUCAGAGAUGGGUGUGCCUCUUUUGGGGUCGGUUCACAGGUGGUGCAUGGCUGUCGUCAGCUCGUGUCGUGAGAUGUUGGGUUAAGUCCCGCAACGAGCGCAACCCUUGUUCACUGUUGCCAGCACGUUAUGGUGGGGACUCAGUGGAGACCGCCGGGGUCAACUCGGAGGAAGGUGGGGAUGACGUCAAGUCAUCAUGCCCCUUAUGUCCAGGGCUUCACGCAUGCUACAAUGGCUGGUACAGAGAGUGGCGAGCCUGUGAGGGUGAGCGAAUCUCGGAAAGCCGGUCUCAGUUCGGAUUGGGGUCUGCAACUCGACCUCAUGAAGUCGGAGUCGCUAGUAAUCGCAGAUCAGCAACGCUGCGGUGAAUACGUUCCCGGG